CCGGAGCCGAGGAGCGUGGUGCAGUCGGCCAGGUCCUGGAGGUCUAUGGUGACACAAAGGCAAGGCACACCUGGAGUGACAGCUAGUAAGGAAGCAGAACUUACCCGCAGGAACUGCCCUCCAGAACCAGUCCCCAGUUAUAAUUCCAGCUUCCCCCAAACCUGGUCCUGGUUCUGUCCUGUGCGCCUGGAAAGCUUAGCUCCGGGACAGACAGAUCUGGAAUUGUUCGGGAAUUGACUGAUCCCCACUGCUGAAGUCACCUCCCUCCAAAGCUGCUCUUUUCAAGAAGGCCUAGACCACCUCCUCACAGCCAGGUGACACCCGUGGAGCCACAGGAAGCCAGAAACCCUCUGACUUCUCAGCCCAGUCGCCUUAUCUGUCAACCGAGUCCUCCUGGAGCCCGGCUGGAAGCAAGGCCCCUGCUGAAUACAUACGGGAAGGUGCAGAAUGGGACGGGGCACCUAUCGCAGGAAGAGAGUUUUGGAAACUUUUCUAAAGACCCUCCAUGGGAGAAACUUAGCAACGUGGCUAAGGGUUAAGACUGCCCUCAAGUCCUAUGAACCCCAGUGUGUCAUCCUCUGAAAAAAAAAAGGGGGGGACAAUGGCCUGCUUGUUGUACCAUUGUUGGAAGAAAAGGAUGUUAAAUACAGUACCUGGCACGCUGCAGUCUUUGUUACCCUGGGUUCACAAGCAGCAGGGUCGAUCGGAACUACCCAGGUGACUACCGAGGAAAUGGGCCCUAACCGGCUGCGACGCUGUCCUGUCCAACAUCUGCUGGCUGCCCCCGCCCGCAGGUUCCCUGUAAGGCAGUAUCUCUUGCUUUACCCUCUAACAGUGUGCCCACCUAGUCCCCAGAGCUUCCAGCCCCAGGACACCAAUGAGCAUGACCAUGCCCUCUGCAUGGCAGAGACUACUGUGGACGUCCCUCUGCCCCGUGCCCCUCGGGUCUUCAGCCUGCAGGUUGACAUGCCAGGGUUCAAAGGCAAGUCACCCCGAGCUCCUCCGACUACUGAACUAUGCAUCUUGAACUCACCAGGUUGUUUCGGAGCGAAGUUGCGGGGAGGGAGGAACCCAUGGAAUUGCCAACUGCAGGGCCCGGCGUGGUGGCACACGCCUUUCAUCCCAGCGCUCUGGGAGGCAGAGGCAGGAGGAUCAUCCCCAUGCCACCCUGAGACUACAUAGUGAAUUCCAGGUCGGCCUGAGCUAGAGAGAGACCCUUCCUACCUUGAAGAAAAGAAAGAAAAAGAAAUUGCCAACAGCCCUGAUCCACCAAUUGACCUCACCUGUCACGGGGCAGAGACACUACACUGCACUGCAAAAGUCACACUCAGACCAACCAAGACGAGCU